GACAGAGGGGGCAAGCGUUGCUCGGAAUCACUGGGCGUAAAGGGCGCGUAGGCGGUCUGUCAAGUCAGUCGUGAAAUCUCUCGGCUCAACCGAGAAACGUCGGCUGAUACUGCCGUUCUUGAGGGAUGCAGAGGAGACUGGAAUUCCCGGUGUAGCGGUGAAAUGUGUAGAGAUCGGGAGGAACACCGGUGGCGAAGGCGGGUCUCUGGGCAUUUCCUGACGCUGAGGCGCGAAAGCGUGGGGAGCAAACGGG
rnacentral:rRNA from 1 species